GAGAGAGGCUUUUGGAGAGCCUGGAUCUCUCGGCCUUCAGGAAAUGAUCUUCUUUCAAAGAAAACAAGGAGGACAGCCGCUCUCACUUAACAAACAAAAAAAGAGAGAACUAUUGGCCUGAGGCCCCUGGAAACAUUGCUUCAUUGCUUGGCCUUAUAAGAAUUUACUUGACCUAUUUUGUGGAAGCACAUUUACCCCAGUCUUAAAGGUUUUUCCAUGCAAAAGAGAUAAAUGAAAAUUUUUACUGCUAAGUUUCAUUCACCUGAGCCAAUCACAGCUACUGAAAUGACCAGGGGUCAAGGCUCCCAGCAUAUGAUAUCCAAUUCAACUAGCAUAUUUAUUUAAAAGACUGCACCUUCUCCACUGAUCUGCAGUACCAUCUUCGUCUGAAAAUUAUUUCUUACCAAGAGGAAGAAGAGGAGGAAGAGGAGAAAGAGAAAAGGAAGGAGGAAGGAGAUGGGGAGAGGGAGGACAGCAACCACCAGAACAAAACAUUCUAAAAUGUUUUGGGUGAUGCAAGUGUAGAAAUUAAAGCACAAAGGGAUUGACUAAAUUGCCCAGUGUCCCCAGACUGUCUGUUGGAGCCUGGAUCCGCACCCAGGUGUUCUUGAAUGCAUGUUUCUGAUAGCUCUGGAGACUGUGACAUCAAAAUAGAGAAAAAACUUCGAGGACUCAUGGAGAGCUGAAAUGUUCAUGAAUAUCAAGCAGAACAAGAAUUAACUGCAUGGACUAAACUAAUAGAAGUUUGAAGUAAUCUUUUUUAACUUUUUGCUUAAAAUGUUGCUGAUAAUUUGUUUUUCAAAAUCAAGAAACUUUUAAGCUAUUUACAGCUUUUUAACAAUGGAGUAUACUCCUUUGAACAAAAUUUGGAGCAUAUUUGUUUUUAAAACUACCUGAUUUCUACAGAAUUUGGAAUCUA
ensembl:lncRNA Novel transcript, antisense to CMAHP